rnacentral:rRNA from 1 species
AGCAGUGGGGAAUAUUGGACAAUGGGCGAAAGCCUGAUCCAGCCAUGCCGCGUGUGUGAAGAAGGUCUUCGGAUUGUAAAGCACUUUAAGUUGGGAGGAAGGGCAGUAACUUAAUACGUUGCUGUCUUGACGUUACCGACAGAAUAAGCACCGGCUAACUCUGUGCCAGCAGCCGCGGUAAUACAGAGGGUGCAAGCGUUAAUCGGAAUUACUGGGCGUAAAGCGCGCGUAGGUGGUUUGUUAAGUUGGAUGUGAAAUCCCCGGGCUCAACCUGGGAACUGCAUUCAAAACUGACAAGCUAGAGUAUGGUAGAGGGUGGUGGAAUUUCCCGUGUAGCGGUGAAAUGCGUAGAUAUAGGAAGGAACACCAGUGGCGAAGGCGACCACCUGGACUGAUACUGACACUGAGGUGCGAAAGCGUGGGGGAGCAAACAGGAUUAGAUACCCUGGUAGUCCACGCCGUAAACGAUGUCAACUAGCCGUUGGGAGCCUUUGAGCUCUUAGUGGCGCAGCUAACGCAUUAAGUUGACCGCCUGGGGAGUACGGCCGCAAGGUUAAAACUCAAAUGAAUUGACGGGGGCCCGCACAAGCGGUGGAGCAUGUGGUUUAAUUCGAAGCAACGCGAAGAACCUUACCAGGCCUUGACAUCCAAUGAACUUCCAGAGAUGGAUUGGUGCCUUCGGGAACAUUGAGACAGGUGCUGCAUGGCUGUCGUCAGCUCGUGUCGUGAG